ACUUCUCUCUGCAGGUUACACCACCCCCAACCUGGACCCCAUCCAAUAGGCUCGUGGUCCCUGAUGGUCCUGGACCACUGAUUUGAGGCCUUUCUGCUUCCUUUGAUUCAGUCUUUGGCAGAGACCCAGGAGCAGGAGUCCUUGAUGGCACCUGGCCCUUUCUAGUCACCGACAAGGGAAACCUGAGAAACCAUUCUCAGAAAUGGAACUAAAUUGACAUGGCAUUCGUCUCCUCCAGAGGAUACAGCACCAAGGCACCAUCUUGGAAGUAGACUGGAGCUCUCAGCAGACCAGAACCUGUGGAUAAAUAAAAAUGAAAACACUUUCAUGGACCCUUAAAGGUUGUCCUGAGCCCUGUGCCUGAUGAAUACGUGGACUCUGCUCACCAAACUCCCUAUGAAGUCCGAAGCUGCAAACCUACCCUUCAGAUUUGCAUUCCCAAUGACUAACCCCUGCCCAUGACAGAAAGGAGCAGAGGUGAAGACGAAGAAACUUUCCACUGAAAGAGGGGACUGCAGACCCAACCAGGCCCUUCACAUUGGGGGUGGACACCAGCAGCCUAGGGGGCCCCCAGCACAUUCCACCAGGGAACACAUUCCUGCCUGCACCCCUGGCCCAGAAUUAAGGCAUAUUAUGAAUAUUCAGUGAAACAACGUGUGUGCUCACCAGGCAGGAAGAGCUCAGCAAAUGGUGGCUGGUCUGGAAAUUAUUGUCAUCACUAUAAUCCUCAUCGACAUCAUCAGCCUUAUUGUCAUCAUCAUCAACCUCAUCAACGUCAUCAUCAGCCUCAUCAACGUCAUCAUCAGCCUCAUCACUGUCAUCAUCAGCCCUUUGUCAUCAUCAUCAUCCACCUUGCUGUUCUCUUCCUUGUUGACAUCACUAUCCUCAUCCUCCUCAUCACCAUCAACAGCAUUAUUUUUAUUUUUUAUUCUUCCACCUGUAAGAGUUUCUUUUCCUCCCUCUUAUUGUUUUCCUCUUGGGAUGACUAGUGGUGAAGGAAGUGUCAGAGGCAAUGACCUCACAGCUGUCGUUGCCAUGGGUGACACCUCCUAGAGAGACCUUACUGGAACUUUCAGUCCAGGGGAGUUUCUGCUGUUCCAGGAUGGAGGAAAUGUUCAAGAACUGUGGAGCAUCUGAGACUUUUUCCUACUUUUGAUGUCCACCUAGUCAAAGUUCAGGUAGGCUUAUUGUCUAUUAUAAAAGCUCCAGGCUCCCAAAGCUUGGCGAAACCCCGUCUCUACAAAAAAAUACAAAAAUUA